rnacentral:lncRNA from 1 species
GCAAAUUAAAUCCUCUCAGAUUUCGAUUCAUCCAUUUAUCCCAAUUCUCCUGCAUCACAUCUUAGCCAUUCGCAUUCAAUUUGUUCUUUUCUUUUCACGUGUGCAUGAAACAUCCCAGCCAACCUCCCGUGCUUUCCUAGCCGUAAGCACAACCAAGAUCUUUCUCAUUGCACAUCAUCCACGUAAGUGUCCUUCCCAGCUCCCCUGCAUUCAGGACAUACAUCUAGAAUCAAACAUGGACCGAAUCCCAUGCAUCCUCAUCCCAUCGGAAUUAACUCCAUCAUCUCGGAUUACAGCCUUACCCCUUCUUCGGAUUAACUUCAUCGUCCACGGCUUGAUUUCAUGAAAUCUCCAACGUCCCAGCAUCCUCAUCCUCUCCCCAUCGUGUCUUCACUCCACAGCCUUUCCACGGAUAAGCUCCACCUCUUGAUCAUGGAGCAGAUCCAUCUUCUUCCAGAUCAUUCCAUCAUACAACCGAGUCCAAGCUCCCUCCCGUAAGAUAAGCUUUAGAUCCCAACGAGGAUGAGCCUUCCGAACUUGAUAUUCUCUUCCGAAUCACAAGUCAAUCUCCCUUCUGUUUGUAAUCGGUUGCUACCCGCACGUUGAUUCUCCCACUUUCAGCAUCCCAGAUCAAACCCCUGUUCCAAAUCCCAGCUGAAUCUAGCCUUCAUCGCCCAUGGAUAAAGCCAGGCUUCCGCUCAUCUCACGCGUGUCCUCCCUCCCGUCCGUGAUUCAAGGAUCAGCUCCCGGUUCCCCUGUUCCGAGCUCAUCUUUAUCUCGAACCAAAUCCAAACUCCAUCCCAUCCGUAUUUGUUCCUAGCAUAUUCCUUCUCUCUCGAUUCAUCCUUAUCUUCUUCCCAACGAUUUCCCCCAUCUCAGCUGUGAGCAACAUGCCUUGCAUCCAUAUCCCCUGUUCUGGAUCAACCUCAUCCGCAAGCCAACCAUCAGCCAAACUGUUCGGAUCGCAGCCCAGCAAUUUUUCCAUGAUUCCGUUCGAUUCCUCUGUACAUCUCAGCAUGAUCAUCCUUAUCCAGCUGCUAGCCGAGUCCCAAGCGUCACCCCAUUCGUGAUGAGCAUCCAGGAUCCAUGGGAUAGGUCUCAGACAUCUGUUCAUAACAUCCCGAGCUUGAAGGAUCCAGCGAUCAACUCCAUCCAGCAGUGUGUCCAAGGAUCAAGGAACAGAGCCUCACAGAUCACUCCCUUCCAGUUCAUCCCAGCGUCCCCCAACUUCUCCCGCAUCCGGAUCUCCCGCAGCCAACAAAUCUCAACUCCUCCACGCAGCCGGAUCAACUCCAUCCAGCCAUCCUUAUCCCAUAUUCAAGCUUAUCCUUCGCACGAAACAGGGGGGGCUGAGAGGCUAUAAAAAGAGGAGGGUUUUCUUUGGGAUUUAUCCUUCUUCCCCAUCGGGGGACUGAUCCCAGCUCUUCUCUGAAUCCAUCAAGCUUCUCUUCGGUCCCAUUCAUUCCUUCUCACCCAAUCCCAUCCAUUAGUUCUUUUAUUCGCAAAGCCCACGGGAAACAGGGAAGGGAGGAAAGAAUCAGGAAAGGAAGGGAGGAAGAAGAUGGAAGCUCUUCGUGCUGCUGCUAUCGUCCACAACUAUAUGCAGGGCUGAUUUCUUCUC